GACGAACGCUGGCGGCGUGCUUAACACAUGCAAGUCGAACGAUGAAGCGGGUGCUUGCACUCGUGGAUUAGUGGCGAACGGGCGAGUAACACGUGAGUAACCUGUCCUUUUCUUUGGGAUAACGGCUGGAAACGGCUGCUAAUACUGGAUAUUCAGGCUGCAUCGCAUGGUGUGGUUUGGAAAGGUUUUUUCUGGGAUUGGGUGGGCUCGCGGCCUAUCAGCUUGUUGGUGGGGUGAUGGCUUACCAAGGCUUUGACGGGUAGCCGGCCUGAGAGGGUGGUCGGUCGCACUGGGACUGAGAUACGGCCCAGACUCCUACGGGAGGCAGCAGUGGUGAAUAUUGCACAAUGGACGAAAGUUUGAUGCAGCGACGCCGCGUGGAGGGUGUAGGCCUUCGGGUUGUGAACUCCUUUUUCUCGCGAAAAAGGCACAGUUUUGGCUGUGUUGAUGGUAGUGGGGGAAGAAGCGCCGGCUAACUACGUG
rnacentral:rRNA from 1 species